GAUACAUACGAUAGGCGAAGGAAAGACCCCCAUUUUUUUUAAUAGCGCCUGGGGAACGCAAGUUUGAUCGAGGAUUGGAGAGGAGAGGUGGAAGAAAAGGCUCGGGAUGGAUUUAGGAGUCUUUGUGCGAGCCGUAUGCGGUGAGAGUCGCACGUACGGUAACGAGGGGGGUUCCCGUCUAUACGUGUAGUGUGGUGGUUGGGCCUACCCACCCUAUUUGUUCCAUGAUCUAUGGGUCUACAGGAG
rnacentral:misc_RNA from 1 species